UACGUAGGGUGCGAGCGUUGUCCGGAAUUAUUGGGCGUAAAGAGCUCGUAGGCGGUUCGUCGCGUCGAAUGUGAAAACCCGGGGCUCAACUCCGGGCCUGCAUUCGAUACGGGCGGACUAGAGUUCGGUAGGGGAGACUGGAAUUCCUGGUGUAGCGGUGAAGUGCGCAGAUAUCAGGAGGAACACCGGUGGCGAAGGCGGGUCUCUGGGCCGAUACUGACGCUGAGGAGCGAAAGCGUGGGGAGCGAACAGG
rnacentral:rRNA from 1 species